UGGAGUUGGUGGAGCAGACGGGAGCGGAGCGGAGGCAAAGAGAGCAAGAUCCAGGCAAGAGUGGGCAGAGAAGUCGGGAGACGGGAGGAGGUGAGCGGAGCAGAGACGGAGAUAACCCCUUGUCAAAAGAAGAGACAAUGAUUUACACUAUUGAGAAUGCUUGAAGCAGCUGAACUGAGGGUAUAAAAGUCUGUAUAAAAAAAAAAAAAAAAAAAAAAAAAAAAAAAAAAAAGGUGUGCGUGCUUCAAGAAGAAAGAAAGAAGAAAAACUCCUGCGCUGACACCAUCCUCUGUUGAUGUGUUCUUCCAGCGUCCCAAGAACAUCUCCCUUCAAGGACUGUGCCUGUCAGCUUUGCAGCCUGAGUACCUUGGACUGGUGAGAUACCAGUGCUCGCUCUCUCUCUUUUCUCUCUAGGCAUAAACUUCUGAACCUGAAGUGUCAUAGUUAAGCUUGAGCUAAGUUUCCCCAAAUACUUAGUGAAACCAGGGUAGUACUGUAAUUGUUUGUGUGUGUUUUUCUUUUGCAUAUCUAUUACUACUAGUACCAUUAUAUAUUUCAUAUGCUUAGCAAUAAAUAACUUUUAUAGUCAAA